ACGGGUGAGUAACACGUGGAUAACCUACCUAUAAGACUGGGAUAACUUCGGGAAACCGGAGCUAAUACCUGAUAACAUAUUGAACCGCAUGGUUCAAUAGUGAAAGGCGGCUUUGCUGUCACUUAUAGAUGGAUCCGCGCCGUAUUAGCUAGUUGGUAAGGUAACGGCUUACCAAGGCAACGAUACGUAGCCGACCUGAGAGGGUGAUCGGCCACACUGGAACUGAGACACGGUCCAGACUCCUACGGGAGGCAGCAGUAGGGAAUCUUCCGCAAUGGGCGAAAGCCUGACGGAGCAACGCCGCGUGAGUGAUGAAGGUCUUCGGAUCGUAAAACUCUGUUAUCAGGGAAGAACAAAUGUGUAAGUAACUGUGCACAUCUUGACGGUACCUGAUCAGAAAGCCACGGCUAACUACGUGCCAGCAGCCGCGGUAAUACGUAGGUGGCAAGCGUUAUCCGGAAUUAUUGGGCGUAAAGCGCGCGUAGGCGGUUUUUUAAGUCUGAUGUGAAAGCCCACGGCUCAACCGUGGAGGGUCAUUGGAAACUGGAAAACUUGAGUGCAGAAGAGGAAAGUGGAAUUCCAUGUGUAGCGGUGAAAUGCGCAGAGAUAUGGAGGAACACCAGUGGCGAAGGCGACUUUCUGGUCUGUAACUGACGCUGAUGUGCGAAAGCGUGGGGAUCAAACAGGAUUAGAUA
rnacentral:rRNA from 1 species